GAUGAACGCUGGCGGCGUGCCUAAUACAUGCAAGUCGAGCGAACAGACGAGGAGCUUGCUCCUCUGACGUUAGCGGCGGACGGGUGAGUAACACGUGGAUAACCUACCUAUAAGACUGGGAUAACUUCGGGAAACCGGAGCUAAUACCGGAUAAUAUAUUGAACCGCAUGGUUCAAUAGUGAAAGACGGUUUUGCUGUCACUUAUAGAUGGAUCCGCGCCGCAUUAGCUAGUUGGUAAGGUAACGGCUUACCAAGGCAACGAUGCGUAGCCGACCUGAGAGGGUGGUACGCCACCCUGGAACUGAGACACGGUCCAGACUCCUACGGGAGGCAGCAGUAGGGAAUCUUCCGCAAUGGGCGAAAGCCUGACGGAGCAACGCCGCGUGAGUGAUGAAGGUCUUCGGAUCGUAAAACUCUGUUAUUAGGGAAGAACAAAUGUGUAAGUAACUAUGCACGUCUUGACGGUACCUAAUCAGAAAGCCACGGCUAACUACGUG
rnacentral:rRNA from 1 species